rnacentral:sRNA from 2 species
GCAAUGGCGCGCUAGGGUUCCGCCCCAAUGAAUGUUGGGAGACUGGUCCGAGAGCACGCGGCCUCGGCUUCGAGGUUACACGGCGGGACAAAAGCCCGGGAGAU